rfam:Picea glauca, whole genome shotgun sequence.
GUCUUUGUAGUAUAGUGGUGAGUAUUUCAGCCUGUCACGCGGGUUACCCGGGUUCGAUCCCCGGCAACGGCG